GAUGAACGCUGGCGGCGUGCCUAAUACAUGCAAGUCGAGCGAACAGACGAGGAGCUUGCUCCUCUGACGUUAGCGGCGGACGGGUGAGUAACACGUGGAUAACCUACCUAUAAGACUGGGAUAACUUCGGGAAACCGGAGCUAAUACCGGAUAAUAUAUCGAACCGCAUGGUUCAAUAGUGAAAGACGGUUUUGCUGUCACUUAUAGAUGGAUCCGCGCCGCAUUAGCUAGUUGGUAAGGUAACGGCUUACCAAGGCAACGAUGCGUAGCCGACCUGAGAGGGUGAUCGGCCACACUGGAACUGAGACACGGUCCAGACUCCUACGGGAGGCAGCAGUAGGGAAUCUUCCGCAAUGGGCGAAAGCUUGACGGAGCAACGCCGCGCGAGUGAUGAAGGUCUUCGGAUCGUAAAACUCUGUUAUUAGGGAAGAACAAAUGUGUAAGUAACUAUGCACGUCUUGACGGUACCUAAUCAGAAAGCCACGGCUAACUACGUG
rnacentral:rRNA from 1 species